rnacentral:lncRNA from 1 species
GGGGGGGGGACUGACCCCCCCUCCCAACACCCUUUGGGGCUCUGUCUGUCCUGUCUGUCCAUCCGUCCGUCCUUCCCGUCUCCGCUUCAGCCUCUGACGCCGGACUGACUCCGCCUGCCAACCCCCAGGAGCUGCCGGGCUUUGGGAUUUUGGUGGUUUGGGGUUCUUUUUGGUGUGGGGGGGGCCUGCCCCCUCCCUGGUGGGUGCUGUGGCUGCCAUGUCUGUCUGUCCGUCCGUCUGUCCUUCCCAUCUCCCAUUCAGCCUCUGACGCCGGACUGACUCCGCCUGCCAACCCCCAGGAGCUGCCGGGCUUUGGGAUUUUGGUGGUUUGGGGUUCUUUUUGGUGUGGGGGGGGCCUGCCCCCUCCCUGGUGGGUGCUGUGGCUGCCAUGUCUGUCUGUCCGUCCGUCUGUCCUUCCCAUCUCCCAUUCAGCCUCUGACGCCGGACUGACUCCGCCUGCCAACCCCCAGGAGCUGCCGGGCUUUGGGAUUUUGGUGGUUUGGGGUUCUUUUUGGUGUGGGGGGGGCCUGCCCCCUCCCUGGUGGGUGCUGUGGCUGCCAUGUCUGUCUGUCCGUCCGUCUGUCCUUCCCAUCUCCCAUUCAGCCUCUGACGCCGGACUGACUCCGCCUGCCAACCCCCAGGAGCUGCGGGGCUUUGGGAUUCUGGUGGUUUGGGGUUUUUUUUGGGUGGGGGGGGCCUGCCCCCACCCUGGUGGGUGCUGUGGCUGCCAUGUCUGUCUGUCCAUCCGUCCGUCCUUCCCGUCUCCGCUUCUGACGCUGCCGGACUGACUCCGCCUGCGAAACCCCCCCCGGAGCUGCAGGGCUUUGGGAUUCUGGUGGUUUGGGGUUUUUUUUGGUUGGGGGGGGGCCUGCCCCCACCCUGGUGGGUGCUGUGGCUGCCAUGUCCGUCCGUCCAUCCGUCCUUCCCAUCUCUGCUUCAGCCUCUGACGCUGGACUGACUCUGCCUGCGAAACCCCCCCCUGGAGCUGCCGCGCUUGUCGCUCUGGGGAUUCCGGUGGGUUUUUUGGGUUUGUUUUUGGUUUUUUUUAUGGUUUGGAAAAGGCGCCGGGUGCUGUGGCUGCUGCGUGUGUCCAUCUGUCUGUCCAUCUGUGCGUCCGCCCUGCAUUAAAACUCUUUUUCACACCCCCUUCCGCCAAAAAACAUCCCCAGGGACUGGUCUCUCUCCCUGUAGAGAUGGGGGGGGGGAAGGAUGUGGGGCCGGGAUGAUGAUGCUCUGGGCUUGGAAAACUGGGUGGGGGGGAAAAGUACAGGCUCCCCCCUCCCGGCCGAUCUGUGGGGCAGGAUCAGGCCCCAUGGCAGC